GCCAUGGUACGACUAUAUCGUCCUCCGUGAAAUAUAUUUUGAGUAAUCAGAAUAAUGCUUAUAUUAUGAUGUCUACCUUUAGUAAAACAUUCGAGAAUAAUUUCACUGUUACCUGCUUUUAAAAAUAGAUCAUCAACAAUAAUUAUUGUAUUUUCAUCAGGUGAUGCAAUGACAUUCUGCGGGUCGAUAAUAUCGUUACUUAAUGUUAAUUUAUGAGUUAUCUCUGAAUCUUGUUCUAAGGGAUGUGAUGUCACCCCGCAUAUUAUAAUGUUAUGAAAUUUCUCGUGGUAUAACUUUAUUAAUUUUGAUGUGAAAUAAGAUUUGCCACUAUUCGAAUAACCGGCAAUGAUAAUCCUUGAUGGAUAACGAAAUAUAUCAACGUCAGCAGAUGUGUAUGUUGACAAGUUCAACAUCUUCCCCUUAUUAUUUUAAAAUGAUCUAAAAGCUUCCUCUCUUUAAGUUGAAUGAACUAAAAAGGGUGUUUACCAUAGAGAGGCGUCUUGUACACUGUAAGUCUUAAUGGGUUUUCAAGAUAUAUAAUACUUUUAGUUCAAUAAGGGGACACAGUUAAUGUGGAGCAGGACUGCCUCACCAAAAUUAGUUGCUUUAGGGUGGCGAUUGACCCAGGUGUUCAUGAUUAUCUUAAAUCUACCUUGGGUGUGAACCGCAUUUCAUGGCGCCUGUCUGUCCUGAGUUGACGCAGGUGUUAUGUUCUACCUUGGGUGUGAACCGCAUUACACCAUGUGUUGGGGGAAGGGGUGACCCACAAUGAGUCUCUCAGAGUGAGGACAGUGCUUCCAUCCGUGACUGACCUCAUCUUUCCCCUUAUUAUUUUAAAAUGAACUAAAAGUUUCCUCUCAUUAAGUUAAAGGACCUCAUCUUCCAACGCUGAACCGCAUAUCAUGCUGUCUGUCUGACCUGUGUUGACCCAGGUGUUCGGUAAGGCGAUGAUUAUCUUAAAUCUACCUUAGGUGUGAACCGCAUUAUACAUUGGUGUCGGGGGGAGGGGGCGGCCUAUAUAAGCUCAAUGAGACACUCAGAGCGAGGACAGUGCUUCCAUCCAUCAUCCGUGAUUGACCUCAUCUUCCCCCCACAGUAUUCCUCUCAUUAAGUUAAAGGACCUCAUCUUCCAACGCUGAACCGCACAACAUGGAGAAAGGGGAUAGCAUAUAUUCGAAAUACUUGGAAGCAUUGGUGAAGAGAAGAUUAUCGAUUAGAAAGCAGCGUUCGUUGGUAAUCGAGAAAGGCGGUGUACAACGCAAUGAAAGGUUAUUGCAAUUGGAUAAUGAGUGGGCACGUGUAGA